CGUCCGCCCAAGGUAAGCCGGGAGCUAAGGCGAGGCCGCAAGGCGUAGUCGAUGCACAUACGGUAGAAAUUCCGUAGCCACCGAACCUUAAACCAGAAGGACACUUUGAGAUAGCGGAACCCAGCCGUUGGUUGAGCUGGGCGAAAGGGACUGAAAUAUAGUAGGGAAGUCCGCGAUGCUCAGAGGCGAGAAAAGCUCUGGUGUAUGCUAAGGUGCCCGUACCGCAAACCGACACAGGUAGAUGAGGAGAGAAUCCUAAGGCCAACGGGAGAAGGGUUGUUAAGGAACUCGGCAAAUUGACCCCGUAACUUCGGAAUAAGGGGAGCCUCGAAAGAGGCCGCAGUGAAUAGGCCCAAGCAACUGUUUACCAAAAACACAGGUCUAUGCUAAAUCGAAAGAUGACGUAUAUGGGCUGACGCCUGCCCGGUGCCGGAAGGUUAAGAGGAGGGCUUAGAGGAAACUCGAAGGUCUGAAUUGAAGCCCCGGUAAACGGCGGCCGUAACAAUAACGGUCCUAAGGUAGCGAAAUUCCUUGUCAGGUAAGUUCUGACCCGCACGAAUGGCGUAAUGAUUUGGGCACUGUCUCGACAGCCCGCCCGGCGAAAUUGUAGUACUGGUGAAGAUGCCAGUUACCCGCAACUAGACGGAAAGACCCCAUGGAGCUUUACUGCAGUUUAAUACUGGGAAUCGGUAAUUCAUGUACAGGAUAGGUGGGAGACUGAGAAGCAUGGCCGUCAGGUCAUGUGGAGUCGCCGGUGGGAUACCACUCUUGGAUUGCUGGUUUCCUAACCUGCGGCCCUGAAUCGGGUCGGGGGACACUGUUAGACGGGCAGUUUGACUGGGGCGGUCGCCUCCAAAAGAGUAACGGAGGCGCUCAAAGGUUCGUUCAGCACGGACGGAAAUCGUGCACUGAGUGUAAACGCAUAAACGAGCCUAACUGCGAGACCGACGGGUCGAGCAGUAACGAAAGUUGGAGUUAGUGAUCCGGUGGUAUGUGAGUGGAAAUGCCAUCGCUCAACGGAUAAAAGCUACCCUGGGAUAACAGGCUGAUCUCCCCCAAGCGUCCACAGCGACGGGGAGGUUUGGCACCUCGAUGUCGGCUCGUCGCAUCCUGGGGCUGUAUUCGGUCCCAAGGGUUUGGCUGUUCGCCAAUUAAAGCGGCACCGAGCUGGGUUCAGAACGUCGUGAGACAGUUCGGUCCCUAUCUGUUGCGGGCGUAAGAGAUUUGAAGGGAGCUGUCCUUAGUACGAGAGGACCGGGAUGGACGUACCUCUGGUGCACCAGUUGUUCUGCCAAGGGCAUAGCUGGGUAGCUAAGUACGGACGAGAUAAACGCUGAAAGCAUCUAAGCGUGAAACUCUCCCUAAGAUGAGAUCUCUCAUCCUUUAUGGAGUAAGGGCCCAGAGAGACGAUCUGGUUGAUAGGCCGGAGGUGAAAGUGCAGUAAUGUAUGCAGCUGACCGGUACUAAUAGCCCGAGGGCUUGUUC
rnacentral:rRNA from 1 species